rnacentral:lncRNA from 1 species
UUGAGAUACUCCACGUAGUUAGAGUGAUCUUCAAAAUGGCAUUCCAAACUUUCCAACUUCCUCAAGCAUCCUACUUCCUUUCCAUCAACUGUUACUGGAGCAUAUCUUUCUUCAAGCAUGCUACCCAAUUUAAAAAUCCGUUCCUCUAGUAUAAAGACUUGCAGGCGAGAGAGUUUAGGUAAUAUGCCACCGGGAAACUUCUUUUCACCACAUCCAUUCAUUCUUAGAUACCUCAAGUUGGAUAGACAUUCCAUGCCAUGUGGAAUCUUUUCAAGUGGAGCACAAUAGAGAUCUAACCUCUUCAGUGCCUUGAGCUUUUUCAAUGAGGGUACACGGCUUAACCUCUGAC